rnacentral:rRNA from 1 species
UGGGGAAUAUUGCGCAAUGGGGGCAACCCUGACGCAGCCAUGCCGCGUGAAUGAAGAAGGCCUUCGGGUUGUAAAGUUCUUUCGGUAGCGAGGAAGGCAUUUAGUUUAAUAGACUAGGUGAUUGACGUUAACUACAGAAGAAGCACCGGCUAACUCCGUGCCAGCAGCCGCGGUAAUACGGAGGGUGCGAGCGUUAAUCGGAAUAACUGGGCGUAAAGGGCACGCAGGCGGUGACUUAAGUGAGGUGUGAAAGCCCCGGGCUUAACCUGGGAAUUGCAUUUCAUACUGGGUCGCUAGAGUACUUUAGGGAGGGGUAGAAUUCCACGUGUAGCGGUGAAAUGCGUAGAGAUGUGGAGGAAUACCGAAGGCGAAGGCAGCCCCUUGGGAAUGUACUGACGCUCAUGUGCGAAAGCGUGGGGAGCAAACAGGAUUAGAUACCCUGGUAGUCCACGCUGUAAACGAUGUCGAUUUGGGGGUUGAACUUUAAGUUUGGCGCCCGUAGCUAACGUGAUAAAUCGACCGCCUGGGGGGUACGGCCGCAAGGUUA